UACGUAGGGGGCUAGCGUUGUCCGGAUUUAUUGGGCGUAAAGAGCGUGUAGGCGGCCAAGUAAGUCUGCUGUGAAAACUCGAGGCUUAACCUCGAGCUGUCGGCGGAAACUAUUUGGCUAGAGUCCGGAAGAGGAGAAUGGAAUUCCCGGUGUAGCGGUGAAAUGCGCAGAUAUCGGGAAGAACACCCGUGGCGAAGGCGGUUCUCUGGGACGGUACUGACGCUGAGACGCGAAAGCGUGGGGAGCGAACAGG
rnacentral:rRNA from 1 species